CCCCUCGUCUCUCUCCCCCCUCCCUUUCAUCCUCGUGCACCCACGAAAACCCUAGCUCACUUAUCCCCAUCGCCGCUGCCGCUCCCGCUCCCUUUUCCCCCGCCGCCGCCUGUCUCCUCCCAUCGUACUCCUCCUCUCUCGUCCUCGUCUCGUCACCGCCGCCACCUCCUCCCCGUCCCCGGCCUCCUUCCGCGGCGCGCGAUCCCCUCUCCCCUCCCCUCCCAAUCCCACCCACCGAACCGAUCCCGAUCCAGUCCAGAUCGAGAGAGAGCGAGCCCCCUCCCGCGAUUCCCACCGCCGCCACCCCCACCCACCGCCGCCGACCUCGUCUCCGCCACGCACCCUCUCCCCUAGCAUUCACCCCCCAGAUACACCAGUCCAGGCACGGCCAUGGCGUCGCGGCCGGCUUUCUUGCCGGCGCGCGCGUGCGUGCUUCACGCCGGCCACGGGCCUCCGGCAAUCAGGACAGCGACGAUGUCAACGGGAUCAUCGGGUCUCCGGCGGCUCGUGCCCCUCGCGCAACUGCUCCCCUCCUCCCCGCCCGCCCUGCACUCCAGAUCCGGCCCCGACGAAGCCAUGGUGAGUCCCGUCGCGGCGUCUGGCCACCCGGCGACAGCGGGGAUCCGCUGCUGCAGUGCCUCUGCGCGGGGACGUGGACGUGGACGGGGACGGGAUCGCGGGGAUCCGGAGCGAUCUGGCGGAGAUCGGGGGCAGGGUGAGGAGCAGCAUCUCCAUGCUGCAGAGCAACCAGGCCGUGGCGGAGGUCUCCAAGAUCGCGUCCUCGCUCCUGCCGUUCGGGGAGGAGGAGCCUGACAAAGGGGAGCCUGUCACCGGCGGAACCGAGGAGGUGUUGGUCUUCGUGAAGCACAUCUCGACGCGGCCUGAGACCUGGCUUGAUUUCCCCCUCUUCAUCAACGAGCGUUAUGCAGACGAGGUCCUAUCAUUAAUGCCUUCGAGGUCUAUACGUAUCUACCUAUUACUGCAGCAAAGCUUGUGAUCCUUGCUAACAAUUGCCUCCGCUCCGCAAGUUUGAGAUUGAGUAUUGUGCUAUGUUGGCGAAGGUCACUGUCCACCACUACCAUGGAAGUAAGUUUGCAUUCCUAUUUAAUCCAGUUUUUGUGUAGUGGUGAGUCUGUAAGAUGAUGUUCAUUUCUGCCCAUGAUAGUGCAAAACCCUUCCUACUUGGCUCACAGUCCUGUCUAUUACUUGUUGCUACUACUUUGUUGUGGAAGUAUUAGCCGUAAUUGCAGUAGAAAGCUAAUAAAUAGUUUGAAAUUUGUGAAUAAGAUGGUAAAGCAGUCAUAAUCAUGACUUUUUUGUUGUCUCAAUAAUAUGCUGUUCAAAAGUAACAGCGCCGAAUGUUUGAUUUCUAGACAAUGUUGAUAUGGGAAUUGCGUGUGGUAAAUACUUCCAAUUCUGCUGCCUGAGUAUCAUCGACCCUGGCGAUUCCGACAUCAUCAACGCAACACCAGCUUGCCAGAAACCUGUGUAUGCCAUUUUCAGUGUCUCAUCUGAUGUGUCAUAUGAGGUGUCUAGAGUGUGGUUCUUGCUGGACUUGAUUUUGUCUUGUGUACAUCAUUUAUCAGUCAAUCAAGUUUGAUGGGACUAUGGUUUUGGAUCAAAAGACUUGUGGUAACGAAGAGCAAGGCCGAGAAGGACUCCAACAAGCCCAAGCGCCCUCUGAGCGUCGUCUUAGUCCUCAUCUUCAGGAAGGACUCCAACAUCAAGCAUGUCUCCAUGGUUGGCAAGGGCGGUGGUGAGAAGUGGAAGUAUCUUGAGUGAUGUUGAGAAGGCUCCCUAAUUGCCAAGGCCAAGUACACUAAGAAGAUCGACACCUACAACAACCCACUGGCAGGAGAGGUGUCCGACAACUCAGACAAGUCCCAGUCUGAGGUGAGCAACGAUGACGACAAAAGCAAUGGGGACUUGUGAUGUGGCACGCAAAGCAGCAGCAGGGGGAGGGGGUCUCUGAAAUGUCGCCGCUUUCUCUCAUUGCUAGUGUCACCGAUUGAUGAUGGAUGGUUGCUGUUAGUUUAGCUCCUUAGUAGUACCUCCUAGUCUUUCAGGCGGCUACUGCUGGUAGCUAUAGUCUGUUCACCGAUUGAUGAUGGAUUUUUGAAUGUACUUACUGUUGUACCCGUGGCUGUUUAAGGAAUACUUUCGCGUUGAAAGAAAUAAAAUGGUCUUGAUACAUGC